rnacentral:rRNA from 1 species
GGAGGGUCCAAGCGUUAUCCGGAAUCAUUGGGUUUAAAGGGUCCGUAGGCGGUUUUGUAAGUCAGUGGUGAAAGCCCAUCGCUCAACGGUGGAACGGCCAUUGAUACUGCAAGACUUGAAUUAUUGGGAAGCAACUAGAAUAUGUGGKGUAGCGGUGAAAUGCUUAGAUAUUACAUGGAAUACCAAUUGCGAAGGCAGGUUGCUACCAAUACAUUGACGCUGAUGGACGAAAGCGUGGGGAGCGAACAGGAUUAGAUACCCUGGUAGUCCACGCCGUAAACGAUGGAUACUAGCUGUUCGGAGCAAUCUGAGUGGCUAAGCGAAAGUGAUAAGUAUCCCACCUGGGGAGUACGUUCGCAAGAAUG